UACGUAGGUGGCGAGCGUUGUCCGGAUUUACUGGGCGUAAAGGGCUUGUAGGCGGUCCGUUAAGUCCGAUGUGAAAUCUCCCGGCUCAACUGGGAGAGGUCAUUGGAUACUGGCGGACUAGAGGGGGGUAGAGGAAAGCAGAAUUCCUGGUGUAGCGGUGAAAUGCGUAGAUAUCAGGAGGAAUACCAGUGGCGAAGGCGGCUUUCUGGGCCUACCCUGACGCUGAUGAGCGAAA
rnacentral:rRNA from 1 species